rnacentral:rRNA from 1 species
GGGGGAGGAGGUAUCCACAGGGACAUUGCCCCAGUAACGGCGAGUGAAGCGGCAACAGCUCAAAUUUGAAAUCUGGCCCCCGGGUCCGAGUUGUAAUUUGUAGAGGAUGCUUUUGGCGAGGUGCCUUCCGAGUUCCCUGGAACGGGACGCCAUAGAGGGUGAGAGCCCCGUCUGGUCGGACACCGAGCCUCUGUAAAGCUCCUUCGACGAGUCGAGUAGUUUGGGAAUGCUGCUCAAAAUGGGAGGUAUAUGUCUUCUAAAGCUAAAUAUUGGCCAGAGACCGAUAGCGCACAAGUAGAGUGAUCGAAAGAUGAAAAGCACUUUGAAAAGAGGGUUAAAAAGUACGUGAAAUUGUUGAAAGGGAAGCGCCUAUGACCAGACUUGGGCCCGGUGAAUCACCCAGCGUUCUCGCUGGUGCACUUCGCCGGGCACAGGCCAGCAUCAGUUUGGCGCGGGGGAGAAAGGCUUCGGGAAUGUGGCUCCCCCGGGAGUGUUAUAGCCCGUUGCGCAAUACCCUGCGCUGGACUGAGGUACGCGCAUUCGCAAGGAUGCUGGCGUAAUGGUCAUCAGCGACCCGUCUUGAAACACGGACCAAGGAGUCGUCUUCGUAUGCGAGUGUUCGGGUGUCAAACCCCUACGCGUAAUGAAAGUGAACGCAGGUGAGAGCUUCGGCGCAUCAUCGACCGAUCCUGAUGUUCUCGGAUGGAUUUGAGUAAGAGCAUACGGGGCCGGACCCGAAAGAAGGUGAACUAUGCCUGUAUAGGGUGAAGCCAGAGGAAACUCUGGUGGAGGCUCGCAGCGGUUCUGACGUGCGAAUCGAUCGUCAAAUAUGGGCAUGGGGGCGAAAGACUAAUCGAACCUUCUAGUAGCUGGUUUCCGCGAGUUCUCUCUCUCUUAAAGAAA